rnacentral:rRNA from 1 species
UACGUAGGGGGCGAGCGUUGUCCGGAGUUACUGGGCGUAAAGCGCACGCAGGCGGUCUGUGAAGUUUGGAGUGACAGUUGGUGGCUCAACCACCAAAGUGCUUUGAAAACUGACAGACUUGAGGGCUUCAGAGGGACACGGAAUUCCGGGUGGAGUGGUGAAAUGCGUAGAGAUCAGGAGGAACACCGGUGGCGAAGGCGGCUUCCUGGGCACUUACUGACGCUGAGACGCGAAAGCGUGGGGAGCAAACAGG